AGUGCUCUCUGGACACCAAGGCAAGCCUAGCUUCAUGGCUGCCGCUGCCAUCACCAGGACAGCUGUGCUGUGACAUGGCCUAGUGGCAAUCAGGCCUCCUACCUUGGCUCACUGGAGCUAAGUGGUCUCUGUCAGGGCCUUGGGCCCCACAGGGGCCAGUGUGUUCCUAUUCCUACAGCAGCCAAGAGGGGCUCUGUGGAAAGCACAUGGCAACGCGUUGAAUUAGGCUCAUUGUUCACCUGCUUAGAAAGCGGAACAUCCGGGAGGUGACAGGUCAUGAGCAGAGGCAAGCCCCAGGCCCACGGCUGGCCAUGGGUUUCUAAGGCAAAGGUUGCUUACAAGCAGAGUCUGCAGCCUGACUUUCAGACCCUCAGGGCUCUGUGAGGUUUGCAGAAUCUAGAAAGUGCUGCAGCAGGAUUGCUCCUGGGCCUGCUCCUGGCUGGGACCUAGGAAGAGUCCAAGCCGGAGAAGCGGUUGGUGGAAAGCCUGUGAACCUCUCUGAAAACAUGGUGACGACCUCCCUGAGCCGGGCCCUGUGGCACCCGGAGUGGCCUCCACCGUCUUCCAGCUGCAUCUUAGCUUCCCGUGCAGGGACUGAAGCACAGCUGCCAGGAGGGACACGGCCCAAGGUCAGGAGGGAAGAGCUGGCAAGCAGGAGGCUCCCAGAAGUCCCUGCGCCUGCUCCGGGCUGCUUUUAUCCCAGGCCUAGUCUGUACUUCUCAGGAGGCGUGCCAAACCCGAAAUGGGUUGUUCGCCGUGUUCCGCCAGAUAGAGGUCCAGAUGGGGGAGGUAGCGGUGGGCCCCUUCGGGGAGUGUCAGGAGCAGAGCAAAUUAUCGUGAGGCCCCUCCCGCUGCUGGGGACACCCUAUUUUCGUCACUGCUGGCCUGCAUGCCCGCCAGCCACAGAAGGCCAGGUCAGGAGACUCGCACCAUGCGGCAGUUCCCGUGCAGAGGGGACAGGGGCUUGGCCCCCAGAGCACGGGGAGCCCCCACCACAGGGAGGGUGGUAGAAUCUGGCCGUCAGAGUGAAAGGCACUUCUGUUUCAGCGGGGGCAGACAGAGCAGAGGGUACCCAGUGCCAGGCAGAGUGGAUACGGACAUGAGCCUGGCUCUUUAAAGAACUGCAGGACAAGGAGAGAGCAGUUUACCAGCACAGCUGUGAGCUGGUCACCAUUCCAAACGAGAAGAUCCCAGACAACUCGGACACGCUCCCGGACCCCACCAGGGCGGUGGUCCAGAAGAGCCUCUGCGUUAGGGCGGGCUCCGGCCUCCAGGUCCAGGCACAUCUGUGCAGGUUCUAGAAUGAUCACUAAGUCAGCCCAGAUCCUCAUGGCACCUUCGCAGCCUUUGCCAUGAGCAUGCCUGAGCCGGUGCAGCCCGAGGCCUCACAUUCACCCAGCUCUUCCCUGGGGAGGGCCUGGGAAAACAUUCCGGCUGGGCGGCUGGGCCUGUUCCUGGUUGCCUCCAGAAAGGGCCCUGAUGUUGUGAGCCUUCCAAUGUUGUCUCCAGCAGAGUCCUGGAUGGAGAAGGGUCACAGGCAGGAGGAGGAGGCUGUGCCAUGGGGCAGCCUCGGCCAGGCAGCCUCAGCGGGUCCUCACCCCAUGCCCCAGGCCCUUUCUUUCUCAGGGUAUAAGUUUUCAAAGCCACAGAAGUUCCUUCAUAUUGCGGCAGACUUCCUGUCAGGCCUGUCAGGCAGACGUAUGGGACGAUCCUGAGGGAUUUGCCUUUCCUGAGAUGUGAAGAGAACGCCUAGCCAGAUGAGAUCCUGUGACGAGGGCCCAAGGUCAGACUGCGAGCAGCCCCAGAGACACGAGCGGAGAGCUGUGCACACAGGUGGUCUGCUGGGGUUCCUCUGUCAAAAUCCAUCGCUGAGGCCGGGGUUUACCUCUCCUCAAGAGGCUGAAUGGCUUGUUGAACUUGCAUGGGGAAGGUGAUUCCACACAAACGUGAGACCUGUCUGACCAGGCCGCGUUCUGCUGUCCUGCCUCUGUGGCAGUCACGGAGGUGCCCUGUGACCCCAAGAAGACAGACGUUACAACUCGUCUCAUCACAGAGAGCUGCCUUUAGAUGUUAGCUGUGGUGACGGGACAGCCACCAAGCAGAGCAUUUCCAGACAGACGCUCUAAUGGCAAGGCACGACCUGGGGCGGGGGCUUGUGCCCCAGCGGGGGCUCCCCCAGAGCCCUGCAAGGCAGCUCCUUCCAAAGCUGAUUCUGAGCCAGGCCGGGAGGGAUGGAGAUGGGGGGCGUUGGAAGGUAGUGGUUGCCUUCCGGGGUGUCUCCAGGCUGCACUCAGGUGGGCGGGAGGAGUCUCAAGGCCCGUUUAGGCAGUGGGAGGUCUUGGCCAUCGCUGUGCCCAAAUCAGUGUUUUGGGGCUUGCCAAAUUACCCAGGCCCUCCCUGCGGCGUCUGCUGCUAGCAGCGGCCUCGGCUUCGCCAAAGCUGUCAUUGAGGAGCUGGCUUUGAAGGCUGCUGAGACUCUCGAGGCCUGGACUCCUACGAGUGCUCCGACCUGCCGGGGCUCGCCUCUUCCUGCUCUACGUGUCAGGAGGCGAGCUAGCUGACACACACGUAACGUCCAUGGAUGAGAAGCCUGUAACUGCGCUGACUCUUAGGCUACCCAGCUCCUUGGAGCUUCCUCAAGCAGCGUGUGUCUGUGCCACUGCCACUGAGGAAAUCAACAUGACGAGUGUCACAUGCAAGGCUUCCCCCAAGCCACAGGCAGCCUCCUCCUCCUGCCUGUGACCCUUCUCCAUCCAGGACUCUGCUGGAGACAACAUUGGAAGGCUCACAACAUCAGGGCCCUUUCUGGAGGCAACCAGGAACAGGCCCAGCCGCCCAGCCGGAAUGUUUUCCCAGGCCCUCCCCAGGGAAGAGCUGGGUGAAUGUGAGGCCUCGGGCUGCACCGGCUCAGGCAUGCUCGUGGCAAAGGCUGCGAAGGUGCCAUGAGGAUCUGGGCUGACUUAGUGAUCAUUCUAAGCCACUGGGCAACAGAGGCAACUUGGCGACACUGCACCCGUUCCUGUCUGUGGAGGAGGGUCGAGGCUCUGUUAGUCCAGGGUCCAAGCUGUUUGAGGGCAGCAGCUGUGGUGACCCUGUGCAACCUUCAGGACACGGUGCCUUGGAGGAACCGAGACUGUUCUUCACAGACAAAAGGAUGAGCAGAGGUGCCUGACUCAGAUCAGACGAGAGUGAGAGAAAGCAAGCUGAGCCCCAAAGAUGCUGAAAAUGGCUGAGAAGAUGGCCGUGCAAGCGUCAAGUCCCCGGGACACCCGGGAAAGCCAGGUGUGGUGAUGUGGAUCUACAGUCCCAGAGCAUGAGGUGUGGUUGGAAGGCUCCAGCAGCUCGAUGACCAGCGAGUCUAGCUGAAGUCUCCACCCAGGUCCAAGUUCCAUAAGAGAACCCUGUGCUGUCUUCACACACGUGUGAGCAAGCACACACAAGUACACACGCUGCAAACAAAGUAGUCUCAGAGUCAUGUGGACUUCCCUGAGCCAGAGCUCAAGCCCAUCAUCUUCAAGGAAAGAGCAGUGCAAGCACACGAAAAAAUAAAAUGAAACAAGAGCCACCCAGCUGUGCUUUUCCGUCCCAGCCCAAACCCUGCAGCGGCCAGGCUAACACAACUUGCUGCGGGCGCAAGCCAGCCAGCCUCACAGCUGUUUGUGCAGUAGAUAAUGUGAAUGGUUUCUCUUAGCAGCACGAGAAUUAUCCCUGGGGCUGCUCUAGAGGCUCCAUGUUUGAGCCUGUGUGUGAGCAGGAGAAGGCAAGCAUGCAUCCUGAAACUGCCUGGAAUCACGUGAAACCGCAGGCAGCUCAGGCAAGGGGCAGAGUGCACAUCAUCUCAGCCGGGCGCGCCCUCCGUCCUGCCCUGGUCUCCCGGGCAUCUAGGAAGGGCAGGCUCUGCGGCACACUCAGGACAUCCAGGCUAGCCCGUCCUCACUGCCGGUGCAGGCCACAGUCUAAGCUACAGGCCAUGCUGGUGUCCAAAUUGUGUCCACCAGCUGUCGACUCAGGCAGGUGCUGUGAUUCCAAAGCCACCAUGGGCCGGCUCUUGUGGCGACACCCUGACAUUCCAGUCACGCGUGCUUACUGAAUGUCUCCUGUAUACAGAGCUGUACAGAGGGAAGCAGUCACCUCCGGGACAGUCACAGCAAGUGGAGGAAACUCUGGUGUCCAUGGGCUCCCUUGGAUUUGUAAAUAUAACAGCUAGGCUGAGUCUUCAGGGGGAGCUGACUCCUGCCCAGACCCAUCGCACAGGGCCAGGCAGGACCCGGUCUUCACCCGUGUCCCCCAGAGACGCUGUCAGCCUGUCUACUUCCCCCCUGCAGUAUGCUGGGCCAGUUCCGGGGCGGCCUCCCUCCUCAGGAGCCCAGCGCCUCAAGGUGUCAGGGAGCUCAUGGGCCUCUGUGUUAUACCAAGCCAGGGGAAUCCUCUUUAGACCCCGGGAUAGCCUGACCCUGCAGCUCAGGCCCCAGGCUGCUUAGGAGGACCGGAUACCCAACAGAGCCAUGAGCGUCUUGUGAACUUGGGGGCUCCCUGGAGAUGGUCUGAAACCUGGGUCUGCACAUGACAGGUCAGGAAAAGGGGGGGGGGAGGCUUUAUUUUUGGCUUUUUUUUUUAAGAUAGAGUUUCUUGAUGUAGCCCAAGCUAGCCCACAAAUCACAAUCUUCCUGGCCCAGGCCCCUGUGCUGGGAGGACAGACAUGUUAAGUAGCGGACCUCAGCCUGCUAGUUAACAAUUUAGAGCACUGUGCCAUGCGGCCUCCCAGGUACUGGUCCUUGGCUUUGUAAGCCACGUGAAUUACAGCUAGUUAACAAUUUAGAACACUGUGCCGUGCGGCCUCCCACAUAUCGGUCCUCACGUGAAUUACAUCCCCGCCAUGUGCAGAUGCUGUGCAAAGCCAAGCAACGCGGAGAUCAAACAGGCGGAAACAGCAGUCACAGACAGGGCGCCCUGGCACCCUCCAGGCCCUCGUCAGACCGUGCCCUGGAGAUCCGUCACGACACAGACAAGAAGGUGCUGCCGGGAAAAUCUGAUGCCUGCGCGCCUCAUCCUCCUGCUAAGGGAGCAAGAGGGGGAAGAGCAGCAGCAGCAGCAAAACAAGCCGCAAAGAGCAAACCCGGGCAGAAGCUGGCAGCCAAGGUGCCUGUGCAGGCCCACACCCGGACAGCGGUCAGCAUUUGGUCCUGAUGGUGACGGAGAGUUGAAAAUCUCACCAUCUCUCCUUCUGGCACUGCACCUGGGAAUAAAACACUGG